GGGAUGCAGUGGGGGCAGUGCAGGGACAGCAUUGGGAUGCAGUGGGGAUGCAGUGUAGGGACAGCAGUAGGAUGCAGUGGGGGCAGUGCAGGGACAGCAGUGGGAUGCAGUGGGGAUGCAGUGCAGGGACAGCAUUGGGAUGCAGUGGGGAUGCAGUGCAGGGACAGCAUUGGGAUGCAGUGGGGAUGCAGUGCAGGGACAGCAUUGGGAUGCAGUGGGGAUGCAGUGUAGGGACAGUAUUGGGAUGCAGUGGGGAUGCAGUGCAGGGACAGCAUUGGGAUGCAGUGGGGAUGCAGUGCAGGGACAGCAUUGGGAUGCAGUGGGGAUGCAGUGCAGGGACAGCAUUGGGAUGCAGUGGGGAUGCAGUGUAGGGACAGCAGUAGGAUGCAGUGGGGGCAGUGCAGGGACAGCAGUGGGAUGCAGUGGGGAUGCAGUGUAGGGACAGCAGUAGGAUGCAGUGGGGGCAGUGCAGGGACAGCAGUGGGAUGCAGUGGGGAUGCAUGCUAGGGACAGCAUUGGGAUGCAGUGCAUGGACAGCAGUGGGAUGCAG
ensembl:lncRNA